UGGGAUGAUUCCUGCAGCAUCUCGUACCCAUUUAUCUGCUACAACGGCACACAGGAGAAUCCUGAAUAUGUUCUGGUCAAUGAACCCAGAUCCUGGUCCGAUGCUCAGAAGUACUGCAGGCAGAACUUCAGAGACCUGGCUACCAUCAGGAACCACACAGAAAACCAGAGAGCUCAAAGUUUGCUUCCUAGUCCGGCCUUUGUAUGGAUUGGUCUGUUUAGAGAUCCAAACUUUCACUGGUCUGAUGGGAGCAGAUUUGUCUACAGAAACUGGGCAGACGUUUUCAACGUAAUAGGCUCCAACAGAAUCAUUUGUGGAGUCACAUGGAGUCCAGGGCAAUGGAGGUUUCGCUCAUGUGAAACAAAAAGGUCAUUUGUUUGCCACAGCCUCCCAGGCAAGUGUUUAAAUGGUAUUUACUUAUUGAUGUGCAUGUAGGACAACAUGAGCUGCAGUUUUAAGUGUAGCUUCAUUUUUCUUGUUUAAAACGUAGAAAUGAAACGGCUUGUGAAGCUGAGACUGAAGACUGAGGACUCUGUCAAUCUGAACGAUCCGCUUGUGAUGGUAAACAUCCUGAAGAAGCUGCAGGACAGACUGAAUGAGAAUGGAACGAGUGGAACCACCUUGAAAUGGAGAGAGCAGCCUGACGGAGACGUCUUUAAGAAGAAGAAGGCCGAACUCUGAGUUAUUAAUCUCAACUUAGUACGAUAUAAAUCUGGUUAUAUCUCUGGUCACUGGCAGUUCAAAUGUAAUCAUACAGCCUCAAUCUGUAAUGUGUGUUUUUUUAUGAUUUUGUAAUAAUGAAAAAUUAGCUUUAGAAUUUAAUUUUUUUAAAUUUUAUUUUUUAUAUAUAUUUUGGAUCACAGUCUUGACUUUAAUCUGAUGUAGAAUUUAUAGAAGUAGGUAAAG